UACGUAGGGUGCAAGCGUUGUCCGGAAUUAUUGGGCGUAAAGAGCUUGUAGGCGGUUUGUCGCGUCUGCUGUGAAAUUUCGGGGCUCAACCCCGAACUUGCAGUGGGUACGGGCAGGCUGGAGUUCGGUAGGGGAGACUGGAAUUCCUGGUGUAGCGGUGAAAUGCGCAGAUAUCAGGAGGAACACCGGUGGCGAAGGCGGGUCUCUGGGCCGAUACUGACGCUGAGGAGCGAAAGCGUGGGGAGCGAACAGG
rnacentral:rRNA from 1 species